GACGAACGCUGGCGGCGUGCUUAACACAUGCAAGUCGAACGGAAAGGCCCUGCUUUUGUGGGGUGCUCGAGUGGCGAACGGGUGAGUAACACGUGAGUAACCUGCCCUUGACUUUGGGAUAACUUCAGGAAACUGGGGCUAAUACCGGAUAGGAGCUCCUGCUGCAUGGUGGGGGUUGGAAAGUUUCGGCGGUUGGGGAUGGACUCGCGGCUUAUCAGCUUGUUGGUGGGGUAGUGGCUUACCAAGGCUUUGAAGGGUAGCCGGCCUGAGAGGGUGACCGGCCACAUUGGGACUGAGAUGCGGCCCAGACUCCUACGGGAGGCAGCAGUGGGGAAUAUUGCACAAUGGGCGGAAGCCUGAUGCAGCAACGCCGCGUGCGGGAUGACGGCCUUCGGGUUGUAAACCGCUUUCGCCUGUGACGAAGCGUGAGUGACGGUAAUGGGUAAAGAAGCACCGGCUAACUACGUG
rnacentral:rRNA from 1 species